UGUGCUGCGAGCGGCGCGAGCCUCUGGCAGCGGGCUCGGCCUUUGCUCGCAGCACUCG
rnacentral:miRNA from 1 species